rnacentral:tRNA from 1 species
UGAAAAAUAAAUUAAACAAAAUUAUAAAACUUCAAAUUUUACAAUACUAGUAAAACCUGGUUUUUUUCAG